UUGGAGGGCAAGUCUGGUGCCAGCAGCCGCGGUAAUUCCAGCUCCAAUAGCGUAUAUUAAAGUUGUUGCAGUUAAAAAGCUCGUAGUUGAAUUUCGAGAUCAAAUUGUUGGUCGUGCCUUGGUACGUACUGACAUUAUUGGUUUCUCCCUUCUGAAGAACCAUGAUGUCAUUAAUUUGGUGUCAUGGGAAAUCAGGACUGUUACUUUGAAAAAAUUAGAGUGUUUAAAGCAGGCUCGCGCUUGAAUACAUUAGCAUGGAAUAAUGAAAUAGGACGUUUAAUUCUAUUUUGUUGGUUUCUAGGAUUGACGUAAUGAUUAAUAGGGAUAGUUGGGGGCAUUAGUAUUCAAUUGUCAGAGGUGAAAUUCUUGGAUUUAUUGAAGACUAACUACUGCGAAAGCAUUUGCCAAGGAUGUUUUCAUUAAUCAAGAACGAAAGUUAGGGGAUCGAAGACGAUCAGAUACCGUCGUAGUCUUAACCAUAAACUAUGCCGACUAGGGAUCGGAUGAUGUUAAUUUUUUAAUGACUCAUUCGGCGCCUUACGGGAAAC
rnacentral:rRNA from 1 species